ensembl:lncRNA
AAAUUCCGUAACAUCGCUUUGCUAUUGACCAAUCGAAGCUCACAACAAUUUCCAGCCCCUAAUGGAUUGGCUUUUGAUAUCUCACACUACCUAUGCUAGCCUGUUUGCACCAAUAGAGAGCGAUGUAUGCGUGGCUACCGGAUCUUGCCAGUUAGGAGCUGAAACUAACAAAUGUCACCAGUCAACAAUCCUAUUUUAGAAACUGAAAACAUGAAACAUAGAAGAGUUUGUGUUUUUUUAAUUUUCUUAGGAUGAGUGGGAUGUUUUCAGUCACUCCUCUCAUACCCACUUGCCGGUUUAUUAAAACACAGAGCCGAGAUGCCACUGAGCAUUCUCACAAGCGCGCGAUGAUUACUGUAUGUAGAAUAAUCAUUUGCUAUAAAAUGCCAUGUAAUAUAAUAGUUUAGACUGGGAAAGACAGGUACAAAGAAGCUUAAUAUUGGACAGUGUGUCAAGACAUUGUACAAACCAGUAAUGGAUGGAGAAGUUCACGUGGAGACGGAGAUGGAGUACGUCACUGUUCGGGCGCAUCCUCUCCGGAGAAGCUGGAGGCUGGCGGUGGUCCUGUCUGUUCAGAACGCGCUCGUGGCAGUUUGUUUGGCUGUAAGCUUCUAUUGCUUCUGGCUUGAGCAUCAACGUGUGUCUGAGAGGCCGGAGGAGAGUGAGAUCUACAUCCACUUUGACCCUGUUACAGUCUCUGCAGACAUCCCAGACAAUACGCCAGUCAGUUUUAAGAGGUACGUUAACCAUACAAUGAAUCUCAGCGGCGAUACUGGGAUUCAGAUCAGGUGUACUGGUCCUUACAUGCUGUACAUGGAGGUGUGCAGUGAGGGUCUGGAUGGACAGUUAGGCAACGGGACCCUGGAGCUGAGGGAGGGGAGUCGGGAGCUGGCCAGCUUCAGCCUGCAGGCCAGAGAAGAGGACUGUAGGGAUUCUCUCCUCCACCAGACAGUGUACCUCAGGAAGGGGGAGAUCGCCACUCUACACUUCACCUCGAAAGGCAAGAACAACUUGAUGGUGAAGAAGCUGACUCUGGGACUGCACUACCUGCUGGGGACACAAUGUCAGCACUGAGGGGCUGGGGACAACACACAUGCGCGCACGCACACACACACACACACACACACACACACACACACACACACACACACACACACACACACACACACACACAGGCUUGCACAAGAACAGCAUUUUUAUAAAGAUGAUAUUCAGGGAAUGAUGAUGAAUGUAGAAAUACAAAUUAUUUUUCGAUAUGAUAUCAACUGUCAUGUAAUUAACUUUCAUGAAAAUGAUUCCAUUGGUCUUCAUAGUAGAUCACAUAGUUGAUAAUAAGGUGCAUGAGCUUUCGGUUUUAAUGCAACUUUUAUGGUAAUAAGCCAUUGUAUUUAAUGCCAAUAAAUCAUUGUUUCUGUGUAGUAUGUGGUUAAAAGUAUAGGUGAUUGAAAUCUAUAUACUGAUGUUUCUUCUAUUUGUUUAUCGUUAUUGUCAUAUUGUACAUUUUGAGAAUAAGAAGUCUUGUACAUCUUUAAAAUGUGUGUCACAUCAGAGUACUGUAUUUCCUGUCCCUGAUCACUGACUGGAACUGUUAGUUUAGUAUCACUCUUGCCUUACUAUUUACUUUCAUCUUUCUCCCUCUCGCUCGGUUUUGACAUCAUUGUAUCAGUGUACAGAGAUGUAUUACAUAUGACUGCUCUGAAAGUGAAAGUAACAAAUGUUUUUAUUGGUUUUGAUUCGGCUGGUUUUCACUACUGUUUCUGUUGCUGCUGUUGUGACCUUUAUGCACUUCUCCUUUUUCCAUUAGAAACCCUUUUGUACUCUUUUUGUUUCAUAAAUAAAAUGAGAAGAUGAAACCUCUGUUUAACUGAUAUCUCAGCUGAGUGUUCUACAGUAGUGGUUCCUAACCAUGGGUACUAGGACCCCUGUGGGUACUUGGCCUAUCCACAGAGGGUACUUGAGAAGACUCAUGAGACCAUAGGCCUACUGGUAAGAUGCACAUGAGGGGGUACAUCAGGGGUACUCCGGGCAAAGCUACAGUGCCUUGCGAAAGUAUUCGGCCCCCUUGAACUUUGCGACCUUUUGCCACAUU